CGCUGUCGCACAUUUUGCUCGUCACCGGAGUCGCAACGACAGGCGCUUUGCGGCCGCCGGCGUCACGUGAUGGCUCUUCAUGUCGCCAUGGCAACAAGUAGGGGAUAAAUAUUAAAGUGAAGAUGGCUGUUGCUGGUAGUCCGUCAGUGUCAGGGGUCUCAGGCUGCGUGUCAGCUCUGCUUGCUGUGUGGUCAUGGUGAUCCUGGGGCUCAUUAUGGGCAGAGGCGGGUAACCAGCCACAGGGCUGACAUUGCUGCCUUUUACAGACAAGUUACCAGACAUCAGCAUGCCGGUUGGAGGAGCCAGUUUAUCCAUGGUUACUCACUGUUUGAAGAGAGGAGCACACGGCAGGCUUUGCAGACACUGAUUAUCACAGCCUUACAGACUUCUACAAGAUUCUUUCACACUCUGAGAGCACUAGCAGUCCAAGUUAAACUUCUUCUGACACCAUGUUUUGUUCAUCUGUUUGUAAAUUCAUUCAUAAGGACACAGAGACAUAAUUCUAAAACACCGGUCUUUCCUAAUGAACAAUAUCAGUGAAAACAUGGCCGCCGGCACUUGCUUCAAUUAUAUGAAACUGUCUGUGAGAUGUGUACUACACAAAGAUGGACGCCGCAUCCCCUUUCAAACCCGCCGGCACAUGCGCAAAGGGAACUUCUGGACACCGGAUGUGGGGCAGAAAUGACGCGAGGAGCGCCCCGGACCGGAAGUUCAUACUAUGAAACCAAUUUGAAGAUUUCAAGUGUUUCUGAACUUAGUUUCUGAGCGCAAAUAUAGCGUUUUGACAAACUUAAAGUGUCCCUUUGUACCAGAUUUAAUGAAUGUGUACUUGUAGAUCCUGUUCUCUAGUGCAAGUUAAUUACAGGAAGUGAGGUAAUCAAUCACUUCCUUAUCCAUAAUGGUAUAUAUAGAAGAUGUGUCCCACUGUAUAUGCUACCCCUUGAUGAAGUCAGACCAGACGAAACGCGUCUACCAUUUUAAUCCUCAGUUAAGCUGCUUUUAUCCACUUUAUUUUAGCUACAUAGCGGAUUUUAAUGUGUUUUUCUUCCAUUUCACAUUAUAGUAUAUGAGUUUUAUAUACCUUAUUUCUCCUUGUCUUUUAU